AGGAGGCUGUACGAGGCAAUGACAACUGACAUGCAUCGGGGCAUACUAGAAUGGCACAGUGACACCAAUACAUUGUGACGUAAUGCAAAAAGGGCACAUUAUUGUCUGAUUAAGUACUGUCGGCACCUUUGAUCUUUCACGGAAGCAUCUUAGAA